rnacentral:rRNA from 1 species
GAUGAACGCUGGCGGCGUGCCUAAUACAUGCAAGUCGAGCGAACAGAUGAGGAGCUUGCUCCUCUGACGUUAGCGGCGGACGGGUGAGUAACACGUGGAUAACCUACCUAUAAGACUGGGAUAACUUCGGGAAACCGGAGCUAAUACCGGAUAAUAUAUUGAACCGCAUGGUUCAAUAGUGAAAGACGGUUUUGCUGUCACUUAUAGAUGGAUCCGCGCCGCAUUAGCUAGUUGGUAAGGUAACGGCUUACCAAGGCAACGAUGCGUAGCCGACCUGAGAGGGUGAUAGGCCACACUGGAGCUGAGACACGGUCCAGACUCCUACGGGAGGCAGCAGUAGGGAAUCUUCCGCAAUGGGCGAAAGCCUGACGGAGCAACGCCGCGUGAGUGAUGAAGGUCUUCGGAUCGUAAAACUCUGUUAUUAGGGAAGAACAAAUGUGUAAGUAACUAUGCACGUCUUGACGGUACCUAAUCAGAAAGCAACGGCUAACUACGUG